rnacentral:lncRNA from 1 species
AAAAAUUAAGGGCUUGUUUAGUUCAAGAAUGAAAUUGGAAUGGAUAAUGAAAUGUGAAUAAAUUGGAAUGGUAAUUGGAAUGGCUCACUCUCCCAAGACGUUUGGUUUAUUUAUGAAUUGGGAAUUGGAAUGAGCUAUUCACAUUUCAUUGUUUGGUUCGUAUAAACUAAAAAAAUUAUAGGAUACUAUAAUACUAAUUUUACUCUCAAAUAUAAAUUUAUAUUAUUUAAAAUUUAUGAAAAAUAUAAUACUAUUCUCUAAUAAGUUUUCAAAAAAAAAAAUUAAAUUUAUUUUUAAAAACUUUUAUUGAUGUGGGUUAGGAAUAGUGUUUUAAGAGAGGAUAGAUUUUUUUUUUUUUUUUUAUGAAAAAGAGUUGAAGAGAAGGAGGGUGAAAUGGUCACAUGGGCUUCGAGAACUUAGUGGACUUCUGGACUGAAAUCUCAAUCAGGGCUAGAAGACCGGAAUCAAGUUGAAGGCUAAUGGGCCAUUCCCAUUCCAGUCCGGAAUAAGAAUUCCAAACCGAUUUAUGCGAACCAAACAAAAUUAACCGGAUUUAAUCAAACUGAUUUUCAUUCCAUAUCCAAAAUGAGUGAACCAAAUAGGC